UACGUAGGGGGCAAGCGUUAUCCGGAAUUACUGGGUGUAAAGGGAGCGCAGGCGGGAAGCCAAGUCAGCUGUGAAAACUACGGGCUUAACUUGUAGACUGCAGUUGAAACUGGUUUUCUUGAGUGAAGUAGAGGUUGGCGGAAUUCCGAGUGUAGCGGUGAAAUGCGUAGAUAUUCGGAGGAACACCGGUGGCGAAGGCGGCCAACUGGGCUUUAACUGACGCUGAGGCUCGAAAGUGUGGGGAGCAAACAGG
rnacentral:rRNA from 1 species